rnacentral:rRNA from 1 species
AGUGAACGCUGGCGGUAGGCCUAACACAUGCAAGUCGAACGGCAGCACAGUAAGAGCUUGCUCUUACGGGUGGCGAGUGGCGGACGGGUGAGGAAUACAGCGGAAUCUACUUUUUCGUGGGGGAUAACGUAGGGAAACUUACGCUAAUACCGCAUACGACCUACGGCUGAAAGCAGGGGAUCUUCGGACCUUGCGCGAUUGAAUGAGCCGAUGUCGGAUUAGCUAGUUGGCGGGGUAAAGGCCCACCAAGGCGACGAUCCGUAGCUGGUCUGAGAGGAUGAUCAGCCACACUGGAACUGAGACACGGUCCAGACUCCUACGGGAGGCAGCAGUGGGGAAUAUUGGACAAUGGGCGCAAGCCUGAUCCAGCCAUACCGCGUGGGUGAAGAAGGCCUUCGGGUUGUAAAGCCCUUUUGUUGGGAAAGAAAAGCAGCAGGUUAAUACCCCGCUGUUCUGACGGUACCCAAAGAAUAAGCACCGGCUAACUUCGUG